UUUAUUGUUGUGGGGUUUUUUUGGGUAGCGUCUAUCUCAAAAUACAUCGCAAUAAUAAAAAAUUGGGUAUGGAGUUCCCGUUGUAACUCAGUGGUUAACGAGCCCAACUAGUAUCCAUGAGGAUGCACCUUUGAUCCCUGGCCUUGCUCAGUGGGUUGAGGAUCCCGUGUUGCCAUGGCUGUGGUGUAGGCCAGCAGCUGUAGCUCCAACUGGACCCUAGUCUGGGAACCUCCAUAUGCUGUGGAUAUGGCCCUAAAAAGACAAUAAAAAUAAAAAUAAUGAAAAAUUGUGUAUGUAUUAAAUCACUUUACUUAGCAUUUUAGGAAUGUGGGUCCCCCCUCCAUCGCCCAGGAUGUGGAUUGAAGACAGGUUCUCAAAAGCGCAUUUAUUCAUGGUUAGCUUACUUUGGUCCUCUCAUACUCCCGUUGUCAUGCAGCUGCUAAAGGGUAGCUGUCAAAAUUACCCAAACACUUCACCGAAAUGACUUAUUUACGAGAGGAGAAUAUACACUGAAAAGCCAGUCCAAGUGGUGUUUCUGCCCUGGGAAAAAAUAGAAAGGGCCUGAUUGUACUGGGGGCACCUGCAUGAUUUUGUAAAAGAAACGUGACAUGACAGCUCUAAGACGGUACCUAUACAACUUUGCUAUUUGGGAAUAGCUGGCCCACAGUUUAAAGCUCUUCGAAGAACACGUUAAACUUGUUUGGCUCCUGUGUGAUGCAGUGAUCUGCCCAGAAUUACAAUCAGCAUGAAGUUCUUGUUUACCAGCCUUAAUAGAAUUUAGAAGAGAUGGAGGUGGGGGAGGGGUGGGGGUGAAACUCUCUCGACCCUGUUAAUGAAACAAGGAAUUGCUCUCUAUUUGGGCUGCGUGUGUGAGGGAGACCCACUGGGUUUGGGAUUUCAGCGUCAGGACCCUAACUCAGUGUAGCAUCAGGGAAGGAAGAUUUUCUGGAGGAAGUGAGCUGUAAGUUGAGGCAAGAAGGAUAAGGGCUAUUGAGCCAGAUGAGCGGGCAAGGCGUGAAGAGGGGAUGGAGAGGGAGGAGGGUUUGGGAUGCGGUUUCCCAGGCAGGGAAAGAUGAGGUCCAGUCCAACCGGUGAGGUUCACGUAUUAUGUUCUUAACUCAAUGAGCCCAUCUUAUAUCUUUGCACUCUGUUUAGUUAACACAUUUAUACUAUCCAGCGAAUCACUACUGGUUAUGUUGAUUAGAAAUCCUGGGAGAAGGAGUGAUGGUUUCAGGUGUCGUAUCCAAGGACCCAGGACUGUGUGAACCUGGCACCCCGCUCCCCUCUCCUCCAAUGGAGUGCCAGUGCUGUGGACAAGCCAGCCCAAGCACGGAUUGGAAGCUGGCAGUUACUAUUUAACCGCUAGAUCAUCAGGCUUCUUGUUAGGGCCGACCCUGGCUAUGCUGGCGGGGAGGGGGGUGCUUCAGAGGAUACCACCUGGUGACAUGGUGACCUCACCCAACAGUAAACAUGGCCCAGGAAUCGCUGGCUCCCAGCAAUCUCUCAGGAUCUGUUCCUUUCUGAAAGGAGAUGACAAGUCUUAGGAGGUGGAAAGAGGUGGGGCUAAGAAGACAAAAGAGAGCAGAGCUGAAACUUCUGUCGCUCCCUCAAUAACUUUCAUGAAAUAUCGCAGUGGGAGCUCCCUGGUGGUGCAGCGGGUCAAGGAUCUGGCAGUCUUGCUGUGUGGUUCCAGUUGUUCCUUGGCGUGGGAACUUCCAGAUGCCGUGGGUGUGGCCAAAAAAAGAAAGAAAAGAAAGAAAAGAAAAAUCACAGGGAUAGAAGCCAGAAGCUCUCAAAUUUCAACAUACUGGGGGAGGAUGGAGUGACAGUUGACAGCCUUGUGUGACAGUAUGUGUGUCAAUGGCCACACAAAUGCGAGGCCUCAUCUGACCCGUCACUUGCUUUUGUACAACCCCAAAUCUACCAGGGCUUUUUGUUUUGGUUUUGGUUUUGCAUUUCUACAUAGUUGAAAAAAAGCAAAAGAACACUAUUUCAUGACAGGUGGAAGUAACGUGAAGUUCAAAUUUCAACGUCUGUUAGCAGAGAUUUGUCGGAACCCAGCCAUUCUCAUUCGUUUAGGUGUUGCCUGCAGCUGCUUCUGAGUAAGGAUGGCAGGAUGGAGUAGUUGCAGCGGAGAUGGUAUGACCAGCAAAGUUCGAACCCUUUACAGAAAAUUGUCGCUGACCUAUGACCUCAAAGUCUGCAGGAAGUCAGUGGUUCCUGCCCCAGAGGCUACACCGGGGGAAGCGUGGCUAAUCUGGUGCGUGCGUGGUGGUUCCACACUCUCCUUCCAUGAGACACAAGAUACAAAAAAAUAAUAUCACAUUUCCUUCCAACAUCCUCAGCGCGGCCGUCGCAGCUGUGACCAGCAGGUGACAAGCAGUUUCUCCAGGAGGAGAGGUCCUUUCUUUCCCAGGCUUUUCUUGAGCUGUUUUCCCCUGAGAAUCUGAAAAUCAAGGACUUCCUUUUCUUCCAUGUGCCAGAUGAGGUUGUCGACUGACUUAACUUCCUCUGAAGUUGUUCCGACUUUCCUCAAAAGCAGAGCCGGUGACAGAAAAGAAACAAGUCCAGGUUAUGUUGCAAAUCGGUUUGUGAGGUGCUCCCAGGAAUGGCUGGUGAAGGGGUGGGCAGUGAGACUGGAAGGGGCCCAGAAGCCAAUCCAGGGUUAUGGGGGGGGAGGGGGAGUGCAACUGGAUUUUAAUCCUGCAGACAGUGUAGACCACACUUCAGAGGGCUUGCACGCGAGACAGGAGGAGGCAGAGGUAUUUUUCUACCCACUGGUCAUGGGUCGAGGACUGGUUCCAUUGUUACAGGAAGGGGGACCCCUGCCAGGGCCCACGAUAGGCUCUUGCCUAACACUUGGAAAUGAAUUGUCUGAGGAGACACAUGUGCUGACAAAGCAAGACUUUAUGGGGAAGGGGCGCCCAGGCGAAGAGCAGCAGGGUAAGGGAGCCCAGGAGAAUGGCUCUGCCACGUGGCUCGACGUCUCGGGUAUUGUGGGAAUGGGGUUAGCUUCGGGUUGUCUCUGGCUAGUCAUCUCUCUCGCCUCAUACUUGGUCUGGCCCAGGGUCCUUCUUGGUGGAGAUCACAUCUCUCAGCCAAGAGGGAUUCCAGGAAGUUCCCAUUGUGGCUCAGCAGUAACAAGCCCAACUAGUAUCCAUGAGGACGCGGGUUCAAUCCCUGGCCUUGCUCAGUGGGUUAAGGAUCCGGCAUUGCUACAAGCUGCAGUGUAAGGUGCAGAUGCAGGUUGGCUUUCGAGUUGCUGUGGAUGUGGCUUCAGCCAGCAGCUGCAGCUCCAAUUCGAAUCCUAGCCUGGGAACUUCCAUAUGCCUUGGGUGCAACCCUAAAAAAAAAAACAAAAAGAGAGACGUAUUCCAGCGCCAAGGAUCCUGGAGGUUGCUUGUCUCCUCCUCCUAUUGGCCCCUCCCAGAUUCCCCAGUUAGUCUUCAGGGCAGCACCCUGAUCCUUAUCAGGGGUCCCUGCUGUAAGACCACUCAUGCAAGCUGCUAUUGUCUGGCUUGGUCAAGGAGGGCAGUGUCAGUCAGUGGUCCCCUUAUGCCAUGAGGCUGUCUGACCUGCACUGUAGUGACAACUGGAAGCAGAGAUGGGGUGGCGAUGGCAGCAAGGGGAUGCCACAUGUUCUUGCUUUGUUCCCGAGCCUGUGCUUAUGGCAUCUGCACAAAGAGUAACUCUCUGGCCUGAGAUCUGUGACCUACAUCCCCAGCAGUAAGCGAUACUGAUAAGAGUAGGCUGGUCACCCAGGUGGAUAUAGACACCCCAGGUGGGACAUCUCUCCCCAUAGAUAGAGAGGGAAACUUAGGGAAAUUUGGGAGACCACUGUAAGUCAAUGAUUGCUCAAGAAAGCCACCAGAAUGUUUUGGAACGAAGCGGGCUUGCUUAACUAUAAAACCACAAAUAAAAGCACAAGAUAUGCCUCAGGUCUUUAACUGAAAGAUAAAACGAGGCCUGUAUUCAAGUGCAGUAAGAUAAUGAUCUUAGGGCCAAGGACAGGAAUUUAAGGGAAAGAUGGUUUCCAAAGAAUGAGACCCUUAUUAUAUGGAAAACUGAGAUGAUGCAACAUAUUUUAGCAUCUGCUACCGCCCUUCUGCUGAUUUGAGAACCAGACAAAUAUCCAUGAGGACACAGGUUUGCUCCCUGGCUCCGCUCGGUGGGUUAAGGAUCCCAUGUUGCUGUAGCUGUGGGGUGAGCCAGCAGCUGCAGCUCUGAUUUGACCCCUGGCCUGUGAACUUCCAUAUGCUGCAAAAAGACAAAAAAAACAACAAC
rnacentral:lncRNA from 1 species